CCACAUUGGGACUGAGACACGGCCCAAACUCCUACGGGAGGCAGCAGUAGGGAAUCUUGCACAAUGGAGGAAACUCUGAUGCAGCGAUGCCGCGUGAGUGAAGAAGGCCCUUGGGUUGUAAAGCUCUUUCGUCGGGGAAGAAAAUGACUGUACCCGAAUAAGAAGGUCCGGCUAACUUCGUGCCAGCAGCCGCGGUAAUACGAAGGGACCUAGCGUAGUUCGGAAUUACUGGGCUUAAAGAGUUCGUAGGUGGUUAAAAAAGUUGGUGGUGAAAUCCCAGAGCUUAACUCUGGAACUGCCAUCAAAACUUUUUAGCUAGAGUGUGAUAGAGGAAAGCAGAAUUUCUAGUGUAGAGGUGAAAUUCGUAGAUAUUAGAAAGAAUACCAAUUGCGAAGGCAGCUUUCUGGAUCACUACUGACGCUGAGGAACGAAAGCAUGGGUAGCGAAGAGGAUUAGAUACCCUCGUAGUCCAUGCCGUAAACGAUGUGUGUUAGAUGUUGGAAAUUAAUUUUCAGUAUCGCAGCGAAAGCGUUAAACACACCGCCUGGGGAGUACGACCGCAAGGUUAAAACUCAAAUGAAUUGACGGGGACCCGCACAAGUAGUGGAGCAUGUGGUUUAAUUCGAAGAUACGCGCAGAACCUUACCAACACUUGACAUGUUUGUCGCGACUUCAAGAGAUUGAAGUCUUCGGUUCGGCCGGACAAAACACAGGUGCUGCAUGGCUGUCGUCAGCUCGUGUCGUGAGAUGUUGGGUUAAGUCCCGCAACGAGCGCAACCCUCACUUUUAGUUGCCAUCAUUUAGUUGGGCACUCUGAAAGAACUGCCAGUGAUAA
rnacentral:rRNA from 1 species